rnacentral:rRNA from 1 species
UACGUAGGUGGCAAGCGUUGUCCGGAUUUACUGGGCGUAAAGCGCGCGCAGGCGGAUUGGUCAGUCCGGGGUGAAAUCUCACGGCUCAACUGUGAGCGGUCCCCGGAUACUGCCAGUCUCGAGGUGUCUAGAGGAGAGCGGAAUUCCCGGUGUAGUGGUGGAAUGCGUAGAUAUCGGGAAGAACACCAGUGGCGAAAGCGGCUCUCUGGGGACCACCUGACGCUGAGGCGCGAAAGCGUGGGGAGCGAACAGG